rnacentral:rRNA from 1 species
UACGAAGGGGGCUAGCGUUGCUCGGAAUUACUGGGCGUAAAGCGCACGUAGGCGGCUUUCUAAGUCGGGGGUGAAAUCCUGGAGCUCAACUCCAGAACUGCCUUCGAUACUGGAAAGCUCGAGUCCGGGAGAGGUGAGUGGAACUGCGAGUGUAGAGGUGAAAUUCGUAGAUAUUCGCAAGAACACCAGUGGCGAAGGCGGCUCACUGGCCCGGUACUGACGCUGAGGUGCGAAAGCAUGGGGAGCAAACAGG